GAUGAACGCUAGCGACAGGCUUAACACAUGCAAGUCGAGGGGCAGCGGGGGUGAUGGCUUGCCAUCACCUGCCGGCGACCGGCGCACGGGUGAGUAACACGUAUGCAACCUGCCCGCCACAGGGGGAUAAGCGGAAGAAAUUCCGUCUAAUACCGCGUGACGCGGCGUCGGGGCAUCCCGGUGCCGCCAAAGGGAUUACCGGUGGCGGAUGGGCAUGCGGCGCAUUAGCUAGUCGGCGGGGUAACGGCCCACCGAGGCGACGAUGCGUAGGGGUUCUGAGAGGAAGGUCCCCCACACUGGUACUGAGGCACGGACCAGACUCCUACGGGAGGCAGCAGUGAGGAAUAUUGGUCAAUGGGCGCGAGCCUGAACCAGCCAAGUCGCGUGAGGGAUGACGGUCCUACGGAUUGUAAACCUCUUUUGCCGGGGAGCAAGCGUGCGUUCGUGAACGCGCGUCGAGAGUACCCGGAGAAAAAGCAUCGGCUAACUCCGUGCCAGCAGCCGCGGUAAUACGGAGGAUGCGAGCGUUAUCCGGAUUUAUUGGGUUUAAAGGGUGCGUAGGCGGGAUGCCAAGUCAGCGGUAAAAAUGCGGUGCUCAACGCCGUCGAGCCGUUGAAACUGGCGUUCUUGAGUGGGCGAGAAGUAUGCGGAAUGCGUGGUGUAGCGGUGAAAUGCAUAGAUAUCACGCAGAACUCCGAUUGCGAAGGCAGCAUACCGGCGCCCUACUGACGCUGAGGCACGAAAGCGUGGGUAUCGAACAGGAUUAGAUACCCUGGUAGUCCACGCAGUAAACGAUGAAUGCUAACUGUCCGGCUCGAAUGAGCGCUGGGCGGUACAGCGAAAGCGUUAAGCAUUCCACCUGGGGAGUACGCCGGCAACGGUGAAACUCAAAGGAAUUGACGGGGGCCCGCACAAGCGGAGGAACAUGUGGUUUAAUUCGAUGAUACGCGAGGAACCUUACCCGGGCUCAAACGCAGGCUGACGGGUCCCGAAAGGGGCCUUUCUUCGGACAUUCUGCGAGGUGCUGCAUGGUUGUCGUCAGCUCGUGCCGUGAGGUGUCGGCUUAAGUGCCAUAACGAGCGCAACCCCUGUCCACAGUUGCCAGCAGGUAAAGCUGGGGACUCUGUGGAGACUGCCGGCGCAAGCUGCGAGGAAGGCGGGGAUGACGUCAAAUCAGCAUGGCCCUUACGUCCGGGGCGACACACGUGUUACAAUGGCAGGUACAGCGGGAUGCCACGGGGCGACCCGGCGCUGAACCCGAAAACCUGUCUCAGUUCGGAUUGGAGUCUGCAACCCGACUCCAUGAAGCUGGAUUCGCUAGUAAUCGCGCAUCAGCCACGGCGCGGUGAAUACGUUCCCGGGCCUUGUACACACCGCCCGUCAAGCCAUGGAAGCCGGGGGUACCUGAAGUGCGUGACCGCGAGGAGCGCCCUAGGGUAAAACCGGUGACUGGGGCU
rnacentral:rRNA from 1 species